rnacentral:rRNA from 1 species
GACGAACGCUGGCGGCGUGCUUAACACAUGCAAGUCGAACGGUGAAGGCGGAGCUUGCUCUGCCGGAUCAGUGGCGAACGGGUGAGUAACACGUGGGCAACCUGCCCCUCACUUCGGGAUAACUCCGGGAAACCGGGGCUAAUACCGGAUACGACCUCCUUGGGCAUCUUUGGAGGUGGAAAGUUUUUCGGUGAGGGAUGGGCCCGCGGCCUAUCAGCUUGUUGGUGAGGUAGUGGCGCACCAAGGCGACGACGGGUAGCCGGCCUGGGAGGGCGACCGGCCACACUGGGACUGAGACACGGCCCAGACUCCUACGGGAGGCAGCAGUGGGGAAUAUUGCGCAAUGGGCGAAAGCCUGACGCAGCAACGCCGCGUGCGGGAUGAAGGCCUUCGGGUUGUAAACCGCUUUCAGCAGGGAAGAAGCCGCAAGGUGACGGUACCUGCAGAAGAAGCACCGGCUAACUACGUGCCAGCCGCCGCAGUAA